rnacentral:rRNA from 1 species
GGACGGGUGAGUAACACGUGGGUAACCUGCCUGUAAGACUGGGAUAACUCCGGGAAACCGGGGCUAAUACCGGAUGCUUAUUUGAACCGCAUGGUUCAAAUAUAAAAGGUGGCUUCGGCUACCACUUACAGAUGGACCCGCGGCGCAUUAGCUAGUUGGUGAGGUAACGGCUCACCAAGGCAACGAUGCGUAGCCGACCUGAGAGGGUGAUCGGCCACACUGGGACUGAGACACGGCCCAGACUCCUACGGGAGGCAGCAGUAGGGAAUCUUCCGCAAUGGACGAAAGUCUGACGGAGCAACGCCGCGUGAGUGAUGAAGGUUUUCGGAUCGUAAAGCUCUGUUGUUAGGGAAGAACAAGUACCGUUCGAAUAGGGCGGUACCUUGACGGUACCUAACCAGAAAGCCACGGCUAACUACGUGCCAGCAGCCGCGGUAAUACGUAGGUGGCAAGCGUUGUCCGGAAUUAUUGGGCGUAAAGGGCUCGCAGGCGGUUUCUUAAGUCUGAUGUGAAAGCCCCCGGCUCAACCGGGGAGGGUCAUUGGAAACUGGGGAACUUGAGUGCAGAAGAGGAGAGUGGAAUUCCACGUGUAGCGGUGAAAUGCGUAGAGAUGUGGAGGAACACCAGUGGCGAAGGCGACUCUCUGGUCUGUAACUGACGCUGAGGAGCGAAAGCGUGGGGAGCGAACAGGAUUAGAUACCCUGGUAUCCACGCCGUAACGAUGAGUGCUAAGUGUUAGGGGGUUUCCGCCCCUUAGUGCUGCGCUAACGC